rnacentral:rRNA from 1 species
GUGGGGGAUAUUGCACAAUGGGGGAAACCCUGAUGCAGCGACGCCGCGUGAGGGAAGACGGUCCUCUGGAUUGUAAACCUCUGUCUUCGGGGACGAAAGAAGACGGUACCCGAGGAGGAAGCCACGGCUAACUACGUGCCAGCAGCCGCGGUAAUACGUAGGUGGCAAGCGUUGUCCGGAAUUACUGGGUGUAAAGGGAGCGUAGGCGGGCAGGCAAGUCAGGCGUGAAAUAUAUCGGCUCAACCGGUAUCUGCGCUUGAAACUGCAGGUCUUGAGUGAAGUAGAGGUUGGCGGAAUUCCUAGUGUAGCGGUGAAAUGCGUAGAUAUUAGGAGGAACACCAGUGGCGAAGGCGGCCAACUGGGCUUUUACUGACGCUGAGGCUCGAAAGUGUGGGGAGCAAACAGGAUUAGAUACCCUAGUAGUCC